CCUGCCCCUAGAGGCAAUGCAGGUGUGUCUGCUGUCUGUGCACCACUAGGUGUCUAUGCUCAGUGUUCUGACCUGUGAACAACUGAGUGAUUAGUUGCCCAAUAUU
rnacentral:snoRNA from 1 species